rnacentral:rRNA from 1 species
AAAGGUAAGCUACUAAGAGCGAAUGGUGGAUGCCUUGACUGGUAAAGGCGAUGAAGGACGUACUAGACUGCGAUAAGCUACGGGGAGCUGUCAAGAAGCUUUGAUCCGUAGAUUUCCGAAUGGGGCAACCCAAUGUAUAGAGAUAUACAUUACCUAUAUAGGAGCGAACGAGGGGAAUUGAAACAUCUUAGUACCCUCAGGAAAAGAAAUCAAUAGAGAUUGCGUCAGUAGCGGCGAGCGAAAGCGCAAGAGGGCAAACCCAGUGCUUGCACUGGGGGUUGUAGGACUGCAAUGUGCAAGAGGUAAGUUUAGCAGAACAUUCUGGAAAGUAUAGCCAUAGAGGGUGAUAGUCCCGUAUGCGAAAAACAAACCUUAGCUAGCAGUAUCCUGAGUAGGGCGGGACACGAGGAAUCCUGUCUGAAUCUGGGUCGACCACGAUCCAACCCUAAAUACUAAUACCAGAUCGAUAGUGCACAAGUACCGUGAGGGAAAGGUGAAAAGAACUGAGGUGAUCAGAGUGAAAUAGAACCUGAAACCAUUUGCUUACAAUCAUUCAGAGCCCUAUGUAGCAAUACAGGGUGAUGGACUGCCUUUUGCAUAAUGAGCCUGCGAGUUGUGGUGUCUGGCAAGGUUAAGCAAACGCGAAGCCGUAGCGAAAGCGAGUCUGAAUAGGGCGCUUAGUCAGAUGCUGCAGACCCGAAACGAAGUGAUCUAUCCAUGAGCAAGUUGAAGCUAGUGUAAGAACUAGUGGAGGACUGAACCCAUAGGCGUUGAAAAGCCCCGGGAUGACUUGUGGAUAGGGGUGAAAGGCCAAUCAAACUUCGUGAUAGCUGGUUCUCUCCGAAAUAUAUUUAGGUAUAGCGUUGUGUCGUAAUAUAAGGGGGUAGAGCACUGAAUGGGCUAGGGCAUACACCAAUGUACCAAACCCUAUCAAACUCCGAAUACCUUAUAUGUAAUCACAGCAGUCAGGCGGCGAGUGAUAAAAUCCGUCGUCAAGAGGGAAACAA